GAUGAACGCUGGCGGCGUGCCUAAUACAUGCAAGUCGAGCGAACGGACGAGAAGCUUGCUUCUCUGAUGUUAGCGGCGGACGGGUGAGUAACACGUGGAUAACCUACCUAUAAGACUGGGAUAACUUCGGGAAACCGGAGCUAAUACCGGAUAAUAUUUUUAACCGCAUGGUUCAAAAUUGAAAGACGGUCUUGCUGUCACUUAUAGAUGGAUCCGCGCUGCAUUAGCUAGUUGGUAAGGUAACGGCUUACCAAGGCAACGAUGCAUAGCCGACCUGAGAGGGUGAUCGGCCACACUGGAACUGAGACACGGUCAAGACUCCUAGGGGAGGCAGAAGUAGGGAAUCUUCCGCAAUGGGCGAAAGCCUGACGGAGCAACGCCGCGUGAGUGAUGAAGGUCUUCGGAUCGUAAAACUCUGUUAUUAGGGAAGAACAUAUGUGUAAGUAAAUGUGCACAUAGUGACGGUAACUAAUCAGAAAGCCACGGCUAACUACGUG
rnacentral:rRNA from 1 species